AACGAACGCUGGCGGCAUGCCUAACACAUGCAAGUCGAACGAUACCUUCGGGUCUAGUGGCGCACGGGUGCGUAACGCGUGGGAACCUGCCCUUAGGUUCGGAAUAACUCCCCGAAAGGGGUGCUAAUACCGGAUAAUGUCUUCGGACCAAAGAUUUAUCGCCUUUGGAUGGGCCCGCGUUGGAUUAGCUAGUUGGUAGGGUAAAAGCCUACCAAGGCGACGAUCCAUAGCUGGUCUGAGAGGAUGAUCAGCCACACUGGGACUGAGACACGGCCCAGACUCAUACGGGAGGCAGCAGUGGGGAAUAUUGGACAAUGGGCGAAAGACUGAUCCAGCAAUGCCGCGUGAGUGAUGAAGGCCUUAGGGUUGUAAAGCUCUUUUACCCGGGAUGAUAAUGACAGUACCGGGAGAAUAAGCGCCGGCUAACUCCGUG
rnacentral:rRNA from 1 species